rnacentral:lncRNA from 1 species
UUGCUUUUGACUUGCACCAUUGAGUUUGCACCAAAAAUUCUCCAGUACACGUCGCUGCUUUGCAAGACAAGAUCGAUCUGAGGCACUGCUGGGCCGACACGUGUGCUGCCAAUGCGGGUAGAAUCAAAGCACGCCCCAAAAGGUGAAACUGAUUCGACUCUAGGCGCAUUAGCCAACUCUUUGGUGAAAGCUUUAACGAAAGCUUCGUAGAUUGAUGACUCCAACACUGUGUAAGGAUGGACGGUGCUGAUCUUGGUUCCGCCGACACCGUUUUUGUCAAUCGAUAGCAAAGAAGUGUUUAACGGGACAACAUGUCCGUUGAUUUUAACGGACUUGACUCCAAUGAAGUAAUCAGUUGAAGGUCGGGGCCUGAAAAGAAGAGAAGCUGUGGACACAGGAUUGAGGAUAAGUGGGGUGUAUACGAGAGACGUGGAAACGUCAACACCAGGGAGCAUCACAUAAGGCCCGUUGCCAAAGAAGACAGCACCGUUAGCUUUGGUAGAAGAGCUCAAGCAAAUGGCAAAUUUUCUAGGAAAGCUGAAAGCAGAAGAGAACAGAGAUGGAAGUGAAAUUGAGUUUCUUCCAAGGCCAGCCAUGCCCCUAACACCGUUAGCGAGAUCUGUCAAAUGAAACCUAUCGGCACACACAAAGAGGAGCUUAGGCACCGAAACAACUCUACCCGGGUUCUUCCCGUUAGUUGACUGGAUAGACGCGACAUCCAUGGACAACGGACCAUUGAAACUAAUGCCAUUUAUAGUGUUAUCCGGUAAGAGAUUGCAAGUAUUGUUGUUGCAGCCUGGCCUAGGUUGAGAAUCAGAGCAAUCCCAACAAAAUGGAGCAUUAGCAAGAGAGCAUGGAGCGGAGUGGCAAGGGGGAGAUGUGAAGGAAGAUGACUCAUAAUCUUCUAAACAAACCACCCAGAGAAACUGACCGCCAAGAUCAAGCGUAUAUUUCACAGGCACAAGUGGGGUUCUUUGGUUGAUUUGAGUGAGGUAUUGGAGAGUUGAUGCAUCUUUGGUUACGGGAAGAAUUAAUGCUUUUGGUCUAAAAGAUGUUUGGGCUAUGCAGGGAGAGAUGAUCACGGAAAGGACAAGUGAGCAAAAGAGAAGAUAAUUGUAAGAGAGAGCCAUAUCUUUGGCUCUAAGUGCUGCGUUGUGGAUAGAGUACUGCGUUGUGGAUAGAGUACUGCGGUAGAGUUGUGAGCAGCCAGCUGAAUUUAUAGUAGAUUUCUGAACGCGUAAAAGCUUUCAAUCAUGACCAAAUCCAAAUUACACAACUUGACAAGUUGUAACAAUUAAUGGGUAUUCUUCAAAUUCUAUAACGGCUGCUAGCUACCAAUUGGCAAAAGCAAUUAAUUGUCUCUGGCUGGCAUAGCUCAGAUCAGUAAACUGGUAAUAACAAGCAGUACGUAAUUUUUCACUUUUGAUGCACAUAUAUAUAAAGAAAAUAAUAUGGUAACAAUUAAUUCUAUUCAUAGAAUUGGUCAAACAGAGUCAUCAAUCAUAAAUUUACGUUGAUUGAUGAAUCGAUGAUCACAGUGUUGCCAACGAUCGCAAUUCUUAGCCCCUGACAGAGAUACAACUAAAAUCAACACAAAGUACGUAACAUAAAGCGAAAAUCCCAUUUACGGUUUGCAAUAACUCUGUUCAUUAACAUUCUUCUCAUGUAGUGGGAUUAAUUUGUGGUAGCUAAGCUAAGCAUGAUUACUGGUACUUCCAUCAUCUACGUAAGGCUUCAUAUUUCAUUUAAUAUGUACGGCUAGGCGACUAACUCCAAACAUUCUAUUUUACAGUUGAUGGAAUGGUUGCUAACCGUAGUGUAGUUGAUGACUAAGCUGGCUAAUUUUUGGGUGCUGAUCUAGACUCUUUCACUUGGUGAGAUUAUGCUGCCCCUGCGGCUGACAUUCUGUCUCUGUCGCACAGGGACGUUAUUAAGGUGCCAUAUUAUCGAUUCUGCUAAGUUAAUUGCCCCUUAUAUUUUUGUUUUCUAAAUUGUCUGGCUUUUUUUUUUUUUCUGGGUUUUGAGGAUUAUGUCUGGUCUGGUCUCUCCCCCUGCUUCUUUGCUUUGUGCUGCUACUUUCUUUAUUUAUUUUAAUAUAUCUCCCUCAAAUUUUUGAGGUUAAUUCAAAUUUAAAAAAAAAAAAACUAACCGUAUACUUCAUCGUUUAGGCAACGUGUGAUAUGAAAAUAAACAUUUAUUAAUAUAAAUAUUAAUUCAUACUAACCUUAAUUAGUUAAUUAAUUUUACCAAAUGAAAAAGGGUUUUGGUCAUUUCCUAUUUAGAAGUUAGAAAAGUAUUUUCUAUUUUGAUCAUCAAUUUCUUAUCUCUUUUUUUUUUAAUAAGCAUUACUAAUCCUAAUUAGAAUAGUAUCUUAAUUUUAUAUUGCUAUACAUACACAUAUGACAGAAAAUUAUGAAAAGUUGAGUAUAGAUAAGCUCAACAUGGAUUAAAUCUAUUUUAUAAACCACUCUAAAUCAGUAUAAGCCAAAUGUUAGAGAAAGAUCAAAUCAUAUUAUUGAGAGAAACUAACAAGGAAGACUCAUUUGUGACAUGUGAGAGUAAACAAGAGGUGGGAUUUCCUAAUUAAAAAGAGAGGCUUGCUAGAAACAAAUUCUCCGUACAAGAAUAUGUAAGAUUUGUUGGGUUUUGGUCAAAUAAGAAUAAAAAAUUUAAUUGUGAAAUGUGAUCACAACGAAUCACUUAUAAAAAAUCACAAUAUUUGGUGGUAUCUCGGUGUUUAGAAGUCUAUAUAAGGACAAGGGAGAUGACUUUCAAUAAUAAUCUCAUUCUUUAAAAAAAAUAUUGUAUAUUUUUGUUACAACAAUUCUUAUCCUUAUUAAUUUCCUACAAGAACAGAAAAUUUGCUAGAUAUAAAGUGUUCAUAUUCUCUUAGUGAGGUCUUCACUUUUGCUUGGAGCAUAUCACAUUAAAGGCUUGUCAUAUCCUAGUAGAGAUUGCUUAUAGGUUAAGAGACUUGCCGGUAAACCUAUAAGCAAUCUCUACCAAGAUGGGACAAAUAACGCUUAAGAGAAGCAUAUUCGAUACAUGUUUCAAGUCUCCAUCUACUCCUGCUGUUAUUUUUAACAAAGGUCCCUACACAAAAUUCAAGAACCCAUUGUUCACCAGACGGUUGGACAAGUUUAGGCAAUACGGAUUGUGGGAACGAUCUGAAGAUUUUUGUCCCAAAUCCCAAUGAUGAUAUCCCAUACACCAUUGGCGUCAGCAAUAACACUCGAGAAUGGUUCUUUGCUCAUGUUACUAGCAAAGUUGGAAAUAGCACAUUCCAACCUACCCACGGCAGAUUAUAUUUCAAUUGGAGAACGUCAGCAGCAAAGGAAAUUACACACUCCAAUUGGCCUUGUCAGCAGCUUCAUACUCUAAUUUACGGCUUCAGUUUAAUUUCAAUAUUUGUCAAAGAGACAGGCGACCUCUAUUCUCGACGGGGACAAUAGCAAAGGACAAUGCCAUUGCUAGACAUGGGAUUCAUGGCUUGUGUAGAUUUUACGUCAUCAACGUGCCAAGCUAUUUGCUUUACAGAGGAAACAAUACAAUCUAUCUUACUUAGUCAAGAAAUAACAGUCAAUAAAUAACUGACCCUUCCUAGGGGUCGUGUAUGAUUCUAUUGGCUUUGGAGAACCACCAAAUUCCAACGACAGAAAGUAGAUUAUAUUCUAGAGGCAUUAAAAGAUGAAAAAUUACCAUGUAUAAAGAAACUGAAGCACCUAUAAGUCGUUUUGUCAUUUUUCUUCUUUUCUUAAAUUGAAGUACGUACAAGUUUAAAAAAUAAAUAAAAAAAUAGACGAUAAAUAUAGUAUAACUUUGUUAAAUUAAUAAUUUUGAUUAAAAACUUUAAUGAAAUAAUAGUUUUUGUCGGUCCCAACUUAGGGCUAGCAUGAUAAAUUAAUAAUUCGAUAAAUUUAUUAGAUAAUAAAUUUUUCAAAAAAAAAUCAUUUUCCUAUAGGACCCAAUUAAUACAUAAAUUAAUUAAUACUUAACUAAUUUAAAACUAAGUACGUAUGAUAUGUUUAUGAUUUUCUUUGUUACACAUAUAUAAUGUUUUAUGCAUUUCAUUAGUCAUUGUUGCUUUCAUUAUACUUUUCAAAUGAGAACCAAUUUUUGUACUCCAUAUAGCUAUGUUAAGAGAGGUAAAGAAGAGAUCGACUUAAUAUAUAACCUCCCAAAAAUCUUCUCUAUGUUUUAUCAUGUAAUCGUCAUCGAGCCAAAUAAUUAUCAAAUGAUUGAUUCAAUCAUUCAAAAUCAAAUGAGAAUGGUGUCUUACAGCUUGAUAGAACCACUACAUUAUCUAAUUACACUGCCUUUAUAUUUCAUUAAAAUUCCUAUUAUGAAUGAGAUAUUAUCUUUAUAAAUUAGCAAGUAAUAGAUUUAUUGAUAUACUAAUAUUUGCUAAAUAUAUUUUUCAUAGUUCCAAAAUUAUUAAUUUUUAUCAAGGUUCUAUUCUAUAUUAUUAAAAGUAAGUAACAAUUCUUUGAUGAAGUACUACGAUUUCCGGUAGAAAAAGCUAUGAGACGAAUUUUUGUGGGUUCUUAUAAUGUAUUAGUUCCUCGUGAAUAUGUCCAUACCAAUCAACUAAAAUAAAAAUAAAAAAUUUAAUAUCUAAAUGCUUAUUUAAAAGGUGGUAGUUUGUGUUAGUUUUCUCCGAAAAACCUUAACUAUGUAUUUUAUUUUCUGAAAAUAUUCUUAAAAAUUUCAAAUCUGAAAAAAAAAAUUGAAAGAAUGUUUUGAACCAGAUUAAAAGAAAGAAGUUUACAAUAAUUUUUUCAUAUUUGAAUGUCAUGUAUAUAACGGAAUGAAAUUAUUAUGGGAGAGAAAUUAAAGUCUCACGUAGAAUUUUUGUGUUUGAGAAGACUAAAAAUUUGUAAAAUAUAACUAAAUUAAGAAAAAAAGGUUAUUUUUUCGUAACAUAUAUGUAUUUUUUUUUAUAUUACUUUGUUGUUAACAUUAAACAAAUAAAAAUAUGAUAACCAAAAAAAAAAUUAUUAGCAUUUACGUGGCAUGACUAUUUGUUUGAAAUUUGGGAAAGACAACGAAAAACAUGAUGCAAUAUAGCACAGCAUUGUAUUCUCGACUCACACUGAAAGCCAAACAAGGAAAAGUUUUAUUGGAAAAACAGAAAUGUAAUUAACCACGUGACAAUUUAUUUAUUACAUAAUCUUGAAACUGAAAUACAAAAACAAUUGCUAAUCAAGCAGUAGAUGUGAAGUUAAAAUUGGAACAUGUUGUCCGACGGAACAGGAGAGAAGAACUGAAGCCUAGCCUUGAUGUGGCCAAAUCAAACUGCAGAAGAUUGUCUUCCAAUUGAUGUCCUCCGAUCACAAUUGAAGUCCUAGGAUUCACUCCACCGUCCACAAAACCAAGGCACAUCACGUUGCUUUUGACUUGCACCAUUGAGUUUGCACCAAAAAUUCUCCAGUACACGUCGCUGCUUUGCAAGACAAGAUCGAUCUGAGGCACUGCUGGGCCGACACGUGUGCUGCCAAUGCGGGUAGAAUCAAAGCACGCCCCAAAAGGUGAAACUGAUUCGACUCUAGGCGCAUUAGCCAACUCUUUGGUGAAAGCUUUAACGAAAGCUUCGUAGAUUGAUGACUCCAACACUGUGUAAGGAUGGACGGUGCUGAUCUUGGUUCCGCCGACACCGUUUUUGUCAAUAGAUAGC